rnacentral:hammerhead_ribozyme from 1 species
AUCCAGCUGACGAGUCCCAAAUGUAGGACGAAACUCUCCUUGUCCUGGAU